UUUUUUUUUUUUUUUUUUUGUGGGUUAGAUUUAGAGUAAGUUAAAACGGGAUGAGGUGAUGCUCUAAAUUUUCUAUAAACAACUUUUAUUCUUAAAUCUAAAAAAAAGAGUGAGAAAGGAUUUUUGAGUUUAUGGUAAGUGAGAAGAAGGAAAAUAGUGGAAGAUAGAAAAAAAAUAUUAUUUUCCAUUACGUUCUAAAAGAGGCCAUAAUUUAACUUAUUUCAUGCACUUUAAAAAAUUCUUACAAACUCAUUUGUAUCUAAUCCUUUAUAAUUUCUUUGUCAAGUAUAAACACAUUUCUGAAUAAAAAGUGUAAUUAAGUUUAUUUUAGCUUAAUCGGAUUAACCAAACCAAUAAUUAAAUAAAAAUUUAUUUAAGUAUUAAAUUAGUGAUAAAUCCAAUAACACUAAAUCAAACCAAUUAUUUGAAAAACUACGAGUAAUUAUUAUGCAUUAAGUGUUACGGCAUAUAUAUAUAUAUAUAUAUGUAUAUAUAUAUGUAUAUAUAUAUAUAUAUAUAUAUAUGUAUAUAUAUAUAUAUAAUAUGAAUGUCUUAUUAUUUGUACUCUUAGGUAAAAGGUUGAGUGAAAGGUAAAAAUAAAUAAAUAAUAUUAAAUUAAUUACUGUAGCAAAGUCUACAAAAUAGGUUCAAAUGUGCAGGUGUGUGUUUAAUAAAUAUUAGGUACAAAAAGAAAAAGCCCAAACAGGUUUUGAGCCCAAUAAGAGAGCAUUAUAAAUAGAACCCAAGAGGUAAGUAGAGUGAAUUUAUCUGAUAAUUAAUUAAUACCAAUUCUGACUUUGGCAUCAGAGCACCUUGUAGGUACACACACCUAACAGUGAGAGAGACCGAGACCGAGAACUGAGAGAUCCCAUUGACCUAGCUCAGAGAAGCGAGAGUCCUCAAGUCAUAUCCAAGCCCAAGUCCAAAAUAGAAGAGUAGUAAACCUAAAGCCGAAAGCCCAGACCGAGAAGUCAAUCAAUCAAGGAAAAAGAAGUUUGCUUCUAGGCCCUUGCAAGAACAUUUUGGUGCUCAUCGUAGGACUCAGGAAGCAAGUUAGUUAAAAAGGGUAAGAAGAUGAGUGAAAGAAGUAAGCAGUCUAUGGAGCAGAGAGACAACCAGAACGCUAUGUCGAUGGCUAUGCUGAAGCAAUUACAAAAAGAAUUUGAAUUGUUGAAGAAGAGUAAUGAAGUAGAGUUGAGCAUGCUGAGAGCAGAAAAUGCGUACAUGAAGCGAAAGUUAAAUGAAGAAACAAUUUUAAAUGUAAGAAUUAAUGGUCUUAACAAGAGGGGGAGUGAAUUGUUUAAGUAAAAUUUUUCGCAAUUACUGGCUAAGAAUGAAGAUUAAUGUUGACUUGCUAUGUACUUUGAUUUGAUUUGUACCAGGUGUGAUCAAUCCUAUUUCCUCCUUCAAUUGUAUUUCUGUAAAGACUUGUGUUCAUAGAGUCAGAGGGUGUUCUGAUUUGUGGUGUGAUUGUGUGUGCCAAAGGAAGUGUGUUCUUGAGGGGAUCAAGAUUACUUCUUUGGUGGUUGUGUGUUUGUAAUCUGUGAUUGAUUGCAUAGUGGAUACCCAGUGGUUUCUGGGAAUUGGAUGUAGCUCUUGGGAUAAAAGUGAACCAAUAUAAAUUUGUUUGUGUGCUUAUCUCUUUCCCUGAUCUCUUUAAUAUUUGUUUUAAGAUUUUUUUAUUCCCUGCUGAUAAAAACAACCGGUUGAUUUUCUGGAAAUCAACUUAAUCAGUUUUGUUCUUUGGCUUCCUUGAUUUCUUUCUUUGUGAUUCAUCAUUGGAUUUCAUUAUACCUUCAAAGUUUGCGAAAAUCAUUUAUAAACAUAUCCCCCCCUCUCUCUUGUUUAAGGUCAUAAAUUCCAACAAUUGGCAUCAAGAGCUAGGUUCUUGAAAGUUAUUCAAGUUGUGAUCCUAACUUUUUUUUAUGGCUGAAAAGUUACCUUUUAGGGAUGGUGCUUCAAUAAACAGGCCACCUCUGUUCUGUGGUUUGAAUUAAUAGUUUUGGAAGGUACGAAUGAAAAUCUUUGUUGAAUCAUUAGAUAGAGGAAUUUGGGAUGCAAUUGAAAAUGACCCUUUUAUAACUAAGCUUGAAAAAGAUGGUGCCUUUAUUGAAAAGACUUGAUCCCAAUGGUUUGAUGCAGAAAAUAAAAGAGCAAAGUUUGAUUGUAUUGCUAAAAAUAUUAUCACCUCUGCCUUAAAUUCUGACGAGUUUAUCAGGGUCUCACAAUGUGGAUCUGCAAAGGAGAUGUGGGACAUCCUUGAGGUUAUCCAUGAAGGCACAAUUGAUGUGAAGAACAACAAGGACAAAAACCAACCAUCUAAUAGGUACAAUACCAAGAAUGUUAAUGAAUUUAAUUAUACAAAUUACACUUGUUUUGGAUGUGGUAAACAGGGACACAUCAAGGCUGAAUAUCCAAGCAAUGCGAGCAAAGAGAAAGGGGGUUACAAGAUGUAUAAGAAGAAAGGAAAAUCAAGAAGAGCAUACAAUGAUUAUUCAUCUUCAAGUUCUUCAUCAGAGGAUGAUGAGGAAGCCAAUCUUUGUUUCACGGUAAAGGAAGAAUCUACAGUGGGCACAUAAAGGUUGAAUGCCAAAAUAAAGAGAGCAAAGAAAAGAAGUCAAGCAAGAAGGAAAAGAAAGGCAAAUAAAAAAGAGCCUACAUUGCUUAGGAUGAAAAUGAUGUCUAUUCAUCAAGCUCCUCCUCUUCAAGUGAAGAAGUAGAAGCAAAUUUGUGUUUUAAGACAAAGCAAGAAAGUGACACAAGCAUUGUAAGUUCCAGUUCUUCCAUUGAUAGUGAAAAUUAUAGUCAACUUCUCAAUGCUUUUAAGGAAACACAUGAAUAAGCUAACAAAUUGGCUCUUUCAAACAAUAGGUUAAGAGGGUUGAAUAAUUGGCUGAAAAAGAGAGUCAAAGUUUUGGAAGAAAAACUAGAAAACUUGAAAAAUGAUUUUGAAAAUAUGAAACAGUCUUACAAAAGAUCUUCUUGUAAGAAUGACUCAAAUGUUUGUGAAAAUUGUGAAUCUCUUGAAAAGAAGAUUCAUUAUCUUGUGAAAACUGUGGAUAAGCUUUCUAAAGGAAAAUCACAUUUUGAAAUUGUCCUAGCAUCUCAAAAUUGUGUUUUGGGAAAUUUGGACUGGGGUUUAAUCCACAGAGCAAGAAGAGUGGUGUUUCUAAGCCUUGUUCAACUUUCAGGAAAUUUCAACCAGUUGAAAAAUCGAAACAACCAGUUGUUACUUGCUUCUAUUGUAUGAAAAAAGGCCAUUUUGUUAGGUACUGCAAAAUUAGGAACUUUUCUAUUCCUAAAGGUGUUAUGAAGUGGGUUCCUAAUGAUCAAACUAAUGCCAAAGGACCCAAAUUUGUAAGGGGAUCAAAUCUUGUUGCUUAAUUUCAUCUUUUUGUAGGAAUUCUAAAGGAUCAAGAACUCUUGGGUUAAAUGACCAAGCUUAAGAAGGGAAAAGAUUCUAUCUGAAAAUUUUGUUGCAUAUCUCUACUGCACUCAGUUAUCUUGAAAGACAAAGUGAAUUUCUUUAAUCAUGCACUAUGGCUCAUUAAGAGAACAACAUUGUCUAAAGGAUAAGACUUUAUGUUUUUUUUUUAAUAUUCUUUUCUUGAGUUUCCUUUACACUUGAAUUAUGAAAGAUCUUAAUUGAUGUUUUAAUAUGUAAAAUCUUUCAUCUUUGUAAAAGUUAUGUGAAGCAUUUCCAUUCUGAUUCUUCUUUUUCCAAUAAUCCUUGGUUUGUGAAAUGUCUUAAUUACUGUCACAGGAAAACAAUUGAUUGUUUUCACAAAACAACCGAUUGUUUCUCCUCUAACAGCAUUGCAUUAAAUGGAUUCUUUUCUUUAUGGAUUGUUUCUGUUGUAGAUUCUUUCUCCAAGCCGUUUUGAGUCAGAUCUCAUUUAUCAUGGGUCUGAUUUCGCUCUGAAAGGAAGAAUAGGUCACUAGAAAAGCUUGCAAGGACCAUGUUGAGUGAAUCCUCCUUGCCAAAGUAUUUUUGGGCAGAUGCUGUCAACACUGCUUGUUAUGUUAUGAACAGGGUUCUCAUAAGGUCUAUCUUGAAGAAGACUCCAUAUGAGUUAUUCAAUGGCAGGAAACUAAACAUUGGUCAUCUUAAGGUAUUUGGAUGCAAAUGCUACGUCUUGAAUAAUAGUAAGGAAAGUCUUGGAAAAUUUGAUGAGAAAGUUGGUGUUGGUAUUUUUCUUGGUUAUUUUUUAUCUAUUCAUGCUUAUAGAAUAUAUAAUAAAAGGCUCAUAACUGUAGAAGAAUAUAUACAUAUUAUUUUUUUAUGAAACUAACCAUGUAAAAAAGGAAUAUUAAAGAAAUCUCGUAGAGGAAGAUGAGAAGAUCACUACCUUGAAGAAUGUGGAUAAUUGUCUAGAAAAACAAUUGACUAUUUCUGCGAAACAACCGGUUGAAAUUCUACAACAGGAUGAAUUACCCCAAGAAUGGAGAAUUCCUAGGGAUCUUUCUGUGGAAAACAUUAUUGGACAGAUUCAGAAAGGUGUGUCUACUUGAAGAAUUGUCUCAAACUACUGCAAGCACAUGGCCUUUGUCUCUCAUGUUGAGCUUAAGUCAAUAAGUGAAGCUCUUAAGGAUGAAAGUUGGAUUGCAACUAUGCACGAGGAGCUUAACCAAUUUACCAGAAAUGAUGUGUGGCCUUUGGUUCCUAGAUCAGAUCAGAUGAACAUCAUUGGAACCAAGUGGGUAUUCAGGAACAAGUUAGUUGAAUCUAGAGUGAUCACAAGGAACAACAUAUGUGGGUUUAUGGUAUCCUUCACACUCUCCUAUACAUUUAGUUUGAUAUUCUGAUUCUAAUUUUGCAGGAUGUAAAUUGGAUAGAAAGAGCACAAAUGGGACUUGUUAUCUACUUGGCUCAAGUCUUAUAUCUUGGCACAACAAAAAGCAAGUUUGUGUGGCCUUAUGACCUGUAGAAACUGAGUACAUUGCUACUGGAAGCUGUUGUGCACAGAUUCUUUGGAUCAAGCAACAGUUGGAAGAUUUUGGACUUCAAGUUAGCAAGGUGUCUUUGUUGUGCGAUAAUACAAGUGUUAUAAAUCUCACAAAAAAAUCAGAUUCAGCACUCCAGAACAAAGCACAUUGAGAUCCGACAUCACUUUAUUUGGGAUCAUGUCAGUAAUGGAGAUUGUGAAGUGAUCCUGCCGGCUGACAUAGCGCCAAAGCGUUGCCUCGUCACGAACCUCCUCACCAGCUUGACUCCACAUGCCCUUCAAGUCCACACCACAAAAGCUUCUUCAAAGAACCUGAAAACACAAGGUGGCGCCUCUGCAGCCGGUGGCGCUCCGACGCUCAAGUCAGUAACAAGAACACCCAAAAACUCAGAGAAAAUAUGCUCUGUAGGACCGUACUAAAGCACACAACCCUAGCAAACAAGCCGUAAUGAAAAACGUGCCUCUGCAGAUUCUGUUAAGUUUACCUUUAUAGCUAGGUUUCUUCUCUCUCCAGGCCGUUAUGCUUUUGGACGCGUGGCUCACAUCCAACCUUGCACAUGUCGCCAUCUGGGUUGGGAUAGCAGGUAACGCCCAUCCCUACACGUGUCAUCAUCUGAGCUAGGUUAACUCGAGCGUCACUUCUCUAUUGCACCCAACCCUGCACGUGUCAUCAUCUGGGUUGAGUAACAGAUAGCAUCCAACCCUACACGUGUCGUCAUCUGGGUUGGGGCAACUUGAACGUUAUUUCUGUGUAGUAACCAGCCGUGCAGCUAAGUCAUCUACUCAUGGAGCAAGCUAACACGCAAUGUGCCUUAGAACACCACUUGACCAGGCAAGGUGCGCCCUUUUAUCACUGCGCCAUGAAUGUUCUUGGGCUGAGGAGACCUUGUUACCAACGAAUGUCCACUCUGGGAAUCUUGUCCCUUUCAACCCACACGCCCUUCACGCCUUAUGCUGGCGCAACAAUCGCCUCACUGGAAUUGUACACUUGAACUUACACUUCUGAGCCUUCAUCAGCUUCAACUGAGCUUACUGGGAGAUCCGGCGAUGUGCUCCUCGCGGCAGCGUCAGACCACUUGAUCUCCCAUCGUCAACACGUCGACGUUAUACGAUCUCGGCGACAACCGAUCAUGUACGUUGUAGCACGCCGCUUCCACAAACGGCGACUACACUAGCUUCUGAACCACUUGCCCUUCUUUAGCCACGUGCUCUACUAAACCCGCCUCACGUGGUCACGUGCUAGACACGUCAUCACACCCGAUGACCUGGCCGGUACACAAGCCCCCAGUCUCGAGCUGCGACUUGUUCAGCGAGAAGACUAAAGAGGUUUAAACCCGACGGCCUACGUGGCUUCGCGCGUUGGCGCUCAUACUGUUCACUGACUUGACAUUUCACAAACUUCUUCAAUCACUCGCCACGUGGACUCAUCAACGGCCAUUAUUCACUGUCGUUUGCGCUUCCUGCAACGUUCGAAACCCUUCGAAUCUCUUAAACACUUCGCGCCAUUUCACUGUUUCAUUAUCUUCUACCUUUCUUCAAACUCUCGAAACGCUCCAGCGAACGCUCCGAUUUCCCCAACCUCCACCUUUCUGAACAUUCUUCUGAUCAUCUAAAGGUAACUUUUUUAUCACUUCUACUGAUAUUUGUUGCACUUUGAUCGGUUUGCAUCAUCCAUUACCUAUCUGGAGCAUACGUUGUGGGAUGUUUUCUUUUUAAUUCAUUUAGGGUUUCUGAACUUUCUCUGCGAGCCCCUCUUGUUCUUGCCUCUUCUCCUCUUCUGUCGAGUCUUUCUGUUUACGUACUCUUAUACCUUUUCGUCUACUUGCAGCUUCCUCAAUGACUCGUUCAAAAAUCACACCAAACCCUCCUUCCCCUCCUCGCAACCCUCCGGCGAAAACCCGUAGGGUAAACCCCUCUUCUUCCCGCGACCCCCCAAGGGGUCCCAACGUCCCUUCUGACCGAGUCGCGAGACCCGCGUCCUCUCAUCCUAGCCAACCACAACCAAACCCACCACAAACCAGCGCGGUGGUGAAACCUCUUCCAGAUUACAAACGGCUAUACCCGUGGGCCUCCGCAACCCUGCUGGGUGAGACCUCAUCCGUCAACUCCGAUCGCGACAUCCUUCGGCUCAAGAAAGGUGAUAAGGAGCACCUCUCUUUCAGCAAAGAGCACGAUGACAAAGUGUCCGUGCUUCCCUGUCCUCCCGGUGAGCCCAUCUGCACCGACGAUCAGGGGAGCGACGACGCCCCCUUCUGCUUCAUUUACACCACCAUGUUCAAGAAGGUCAAGCUUCGGUUUCCCUUCACACGCUUUGAGAGGGAGCUCCUGACCGAGCUUGACAUAACCCCCGCCCAGCUCCAUUCCAACAGCUGGGCGUUCGUAUGGGCUUAUCAGAUCCUCUGCGCACACUUGGGACAUCCGGCCUCGGUGGAUGUGUUCCUCUAUUUAUUAGAGGCGAAGAACCCGGGCGAUCGUCUAUGGGUCAGCCUUAAUGGGAUCGCCGGGAGGUCCAAUUUUUCUAUCUUCCAGCAAUCCUAUAAGGAUUGGAAGGGGAAGUUCGUGCGUGUAUUCUGCAACGAUCAAGACCCUUCCCUUCUCGACGGGUUCCCCUUGUAUUGGGUGAACAAAGGGAAAAAGGAGUCGAGCUUCAGGAAGGGUAGGGAGCCAGAAAAGAUGGGGGGGCUCGACAAGGACUUGUGCGUUUUCUGGAAGAAAGUCGCCUCUUCCAACGUGACCCUAUCGACUGCCUCCAUCGUCUCCUUCGAGUUCUAUGAAAGCCAAUUGGACUUUUACAUAGGUCUGUCCUUAAGCCUUCAAGUUUCCCUAGCUUGACUUUGCAUUUUCUCGUUUCUACUCUGAUGUUGUUGUUCUAACUUCGCAUAUGGUUUCAAACUCCUUCAUGCAUUAUUACCUAUCAAUUCUCUGUGCUAGUUGAUAACUGUUGGCCCCCUUUGCAGAUACGAUGCUGGGACAAGAUAGGAUGGCUGAGCUACGCACCAUAGCCAAGUCCCAUAAGCUUGCGGCGGGCUCUCAAACGAUCCCGAACUCUGUUGCGGAGAUCGCCGCCUCCCAGGGCCAAUCCCCACCAGUUGGUCCACCCGCUGCUGCCGCUCUUCCAGCCCCCCAACGCAAGAAACUACCUCUCAAGAAGGCCAAAAGGAAAGCCCCCAGGGUAGUAUCUGACGAAGAGGCAGAUGAAAGCACCGAGGACGGGCUAAUCUGCAAAAGGAAAAGGGUAGCGGUGACCGAGCCAUCAGCAAUUGAGAGCGCCGCUCCAAACUUCAUCGAGAACCCCCCCAGCGCCUCCACACCAUUCGAGUCCGCUGGGGACGUUCUCGUUUCAAACGCUUCAGUUGCUGAGGCCGCUCCUGAGCAACUUGCUGAUACGCAAGCCUCCUCACAAGCCGCUGAGAAGCUCCCUGCCUCACCACCACGCCUCGAAGCCUCCCCCGCCGUCCAACCUUGUGAGGGUGGCGGUGAGCACCAACCUUCGCCUCCACCAGCAACCCCAAGUCUCCCAGCCGCUCUUCAAGAAGCUUUAAAGUCCUUCACCGUCUGCUUAAGUGUCAUGGUUGACUAUUGUCUUCCCUAAAUCGUCGGCGAAGGGCUCAAGGACUCCUUGGAGAAGUUUGAGCUCGAUAAUCGGAUCAACCAGGAGGUGGCAAGUACCGCGAAAGCUAAAGCCGAGAAGACCAAGUGUGAUAUAAUGAUGCAAGGCUUGGAGUUUUCGCAAGUUGAAAACGCCCUCAAGGACAAGCUCAAGAGCGUGCGGCAAGACAACAAAGAGCUGCGCAAGAAGCUUCAUGACAAACUCCAAGACGUCGUCGAGCUGGAGAGCAAGAUCGUCCCUCUGAGGGAGAAAAUUGCCGCGCUGGAGGAGGCAAAGAAAACUGACGCCCAGAAGAUGGUCAACCUGGAGAAGAGGUUAGUCGAGAGAGACCCUUCUGGGACCACCUUCUGGGCGUCCCUUGCGGGACGACCUUCUGAUUUCAUUUUUGCUCACUUGGGAGGAGAGCCGUCUUUCGAAUCGCUCUUUGCCUUCCCCAAGCCUUUACCCUGAGAUAACUUACACCAUUGUUCCCUCAUCUGGGGGUAGAGCCGCCUUUCGGAUCCUUCUCUACCUCCUUGAGUUUCAGAACAAUGAUUUGGGUGGUGGGGAUCCUCUGCGAACCUUCCCCAACUACCCUUCACCUCCGAUUUAACUGGUCUUACUAGGUCAACAUUGGUGUCUCUCUCAAGGGGGAAAGAGUCCUUCUCCAACCGUCCUUUCCCACACUUGAGAUCGUUAGCACCCCUGACUUUUCGGUUUAAUCUUGCCUGAACUCACUCGAGGGUGAGAAGGACAUUUUUGGAUGCCUCAACUUGCCCAGGGGUUACAUCUCCUCCUCCCCCGGAUGCACUGAGGGCUUUCAACUUGCCUCGAUUUGCUCACGCAAAGAGGUCUUGUGAUCUGUUCUCGCCUACGCUCGCUCGAGGCGAGGAGGUCUUUUAAAUCUCUUUCUCGCCUACGCUCGCUUAAGGCGAUGAGGUCUUUUAAAUCCCUUUCUCGCCUUCGCUCGCUCAAGGCGAGGAGGUCUUUUAAAUCUCUUUCUCGCCUGCACUCGCUCAAGGCGAGGAGGUCUUUUAAAUCUCUUUCUCGCCGGGAGGAAAUCUGAUAUUUGGGCCUCCGAUCGCCAGGAGGCGGUGAGGACUUAAAAAACUUUAUUCUUGUGCCUCCGAUCGCCAUAUGGCGAUGAGGGCUUAAAAAACUUUAUGUUUCAGAAAUUUUGUACUGGAUGCAUGCAGUUCGGAUUUGCCGUUUUUCUUUAAAACUACACAAGGGCGAUAGGGUCUCUCCCCACAAACUUGGCAAACAGACAACAUGCAAACUUAAUAGCUGGGAAACUUUGAUAAACUUCGAAACCUUCUUUACUGGGUGGCCUCGUUAAAACCCUCCUUAGGGAAAAAGAGUGCCCCCUUGGUAAAUUUGUUUAAACUGAUACAUCUUAAAUUGUUCAAGUUAAUUGCUACUUACAAAGGCUUAACUGUAGUAAAACUUGAGAUGGGUGGCGUUCCAAGUGCGAGGAAUCGCCCCUCCCUCCAGCGUCUCCAAGCGGUAGGCGCCGUUCCCGAGUGCUUCAGUUAUUCUGAAUGGUCCUGUCCACUUGGGUGACAAUUUGUUUUCCAUCUCGUACUGGUGGGCCUUCUUCAUCACCAGGUCGCCAUCUCUGAACUGCCUCGGCUUUAUCUUGGAGUUGUAUUUACGCUCGACCCUUCUCUUCACUGCCUCGGCCUUCACUCGCGCUUCCUCCCUGACCUCGUCAGCAAAUCCAAGUUCAUCCUCCUUUCUUCGUUCGAGUCCUCCGCCACGAAGUUCUGAAAUCUCGGCGAGCUUUCUUGGAUUUCAACUGGAAUCAUCGCGUCACAUCCAUACACUAAGCUGAACGGGGUUUCGUGGGUUCCCGAUUGCUCAAUAGUAUGAUAUGCCCACACUAUGCGAGGAACUUCCUCAGCCCAAGACCCCUUGGCCUUUUCCAGCCUUCUCUUCAAUCCUCUCAGCAGGACCCGGUUAGCGGACUCCACCUGCCCAUUCGUUUGCAGGUGUUCCAAGGAAGCAAACACCUGUUGCGUCCCGAUGUCCUCGCACAGCUUCUUCAACAGGUGGGCUUGCGAACUGAGUCUCAUUGUCUAAUACUAGACGCUUGGGCACACCAAAACGGCACACAAUAUUUUUCCACACGAAACUCUGGAUUUUGUGUGCAGUGAUCUGGGCUACUGGUUCUGCCUCGAUCCAUUUGGUGAAGUAUUCGAUCGCCACAACCAAAUACUUCAUUUGCCUGAUCGCUAACGGGAAGGGCCCCAGAAUGUCGAUUCCCCACGUGUGGAACGGCCAGGGGCUGUAGAUUGACCUCAACUUUUCUGGGGGCGCCUUGUGCUAGUCAGCGUGCUGCUGACAUUGCUUGCAGUUGGGCAUAUCUCUUGCAAUCUUCCCUCAUCGUGGGCCAGUAAUAACCUGCGCGGACAGUUCUUGUCGCCAGCGAUCGACCUCCAAUGUGGCUCCCACAAAUUCCUUCAUGGAGCUCAGCCAUAAUUCUCGUGCACUUCUCUCCGUGUACACAUACAAGAAGAGGGUGUGUAAAUCCGAACCUGUACAGCUCGCCAUCAAUGAGGGUAAACUUGCUGGAGCUUUUCUUCAUCUUUCUAGCUUCUGUUGAAUCUAUAGGGAGCACGCCAUCUGCCAAGUAGCGUUGGUAUGGCGUUAUCCACGUAUCAGGCUCGUGGAUAGCGCAAACUUGCGUCGUGCUCACUUCUCUCACUGGGUGCGCCCUGACCCUUGGCGUCCUCAAGGUCUCUUGCAUUAGGGAUCUAUGGCUCCUCGCCGUUCUUUCCGUCGACCUGCAAACAUGAAGAACCUGGUGGUCUGCCACGAAUGCUCGAGGAGUCUUCAAAGUUUCUUGAAUGACAGUCCUCUGUCUGCCCCCUUGCUCGAACUGGCAAGCUUGGCUAGCAAGUCAGCUCGGGCAUUCUGCUCUCUUGGCACGUGUACCACUUCAAACAAAGCGAAAGAUCUCCUUAGCUCUUACACGUACUCCAAGUAGGCUGCCAUCUGCGGGUCCUUGGCUUGGAACUCGCCAGUCACUUGUUCAGUGACCAACAGCGAAUCGCUCUUGGCCAUCAGCACCUUCGCCCCCAUUUCCUUUGCCAACAAGAUUCCGGCGAUCAAAGCCUCAUACUCUGCUUGAUUGUUGCUUGCUUUGAAAGAAAACCUCAGUGAUUGCUCUAUCAACACGCCGUUAGGUCCUUCCAAAAUGACCCCAGCCCCACUGCUCAGCUGGUUAGACGACCCAUCCACCGAGAGUACCCAACGAAAGUCAUCCUUGGCGUUUUGAGCUGUUUCGGAAGACAGCUCGACCACGAAAUCAGCGAAGAUUUGCCCCUUGAUCGAUCCCCGGGGCUCGUACUUGAUGUCGAAUUCCGACAGUUCCACUGCCCACUUCACCAUUCUUCCAGCUACAUCUGGUUUCUUCAGAACCUUCUGGAUAGGCAAGUCAGUCAUUACCAGCACCGUAAAGCUCUGGAAGUAAUGGCGCAGCCUCCUCGCCGAAAAUACAACCGCUAACGCCGCCUUUUCUAAGGCCUGAUACCUCACUUCCAGGCCUUGCAGCACCUAUCUAACAAAAUAGAUGGGUUUUUGGACCUGAUCUUGAUCCUGGACGAGCACUGCGCUUAUUGCCUUCUCAGUUAUGGCAAAGUACAGCCUGAGUGGCGUUACUGCUUAGGGUUUGCAUAGAACUGGCGGGCUCGCUAAAUAUUCUUUGAGCUUUAUGAAGGCCUCCUCACACUCCUUCGUCCAGACAAACCUGUUGUUCCUCUUCAAGCACUGGAAGUAAGGAUGACCCUUCUCCCCACUGGCCGAUACAAAUCGAGACAGGGCAGCCUUUCGCCCGGUGAGCUGUUGCACCUCUUUCACAGUGGUGGGGCUCCUCAUCGCCAAAAUGGCGGCACACUACUCGGGGAUAGCCUCGAUUCCCCUUUCUGACAAAAGAAAUCCCAGAAAUUUUCCUGCUUCCACACCAAAGACACACUUCUCAGGAUUUAGUUUCAGCUUGUACCUGGCUAUGGUGAUGAACAACUCUUCCAAAUCGGCAACGUGCUUGUUCUUUUCCAGGGACGUUACGACCAUGUCGUCAACGUAUGCCUGCACAUUCCUUCCGAGCAUAGGGGCGAGCACCCUGUCCAUUAGCCUUUGGUACCUGGCUCCCGCAUUCUUCAGCCCGAAGGGCAUCACCUUGUAGCAGUAGCAAGACCUUUCUGUCAUGAAGGCGGUCUUCUCUUCAUCCAUGGGGAGCAUUUUGAUUUGAUUGUACCCCAAGAAGGCAUCCAGAAAACUGAGCAGCUUGCACCCUGAUGCACUGUCUACCAGGGCGUCUAUACUCGGCAAAGGAUAAGAAUCCUUUGGACAGGCCUUGUUCAGGUCUGUGAAGUCAACACACAUCCGCCACUUUCCACUACUCUUCUUGACCAGAACGACAUUGGCGAGCCAUUCUGGAUAUUGAAUCUCUCUGAUGUGGCCUGCUGCGAGGAGUUUUUGUGUUUCAUCUUUGAUCACCUGCCUUUUAUCCUCGUUGAACUUUCUCCUUCUUUGGCGGAUAAGCCUGACUUGGGGGUCCAUUGCUAAGCGAUGGCACAAGAAAUUGGGGUCAAUUUCCGGCAUGUCUGAAGCAGCCCACGCAAAUGCAUCCAGGUGUCUACUAAUCACUUUGGCGAUUUGGUCUUGCGUCUCGCUAUCCAAGGUUGUCCCCAGCUUAAACACCUUACCGUUGAUCUCCUUUUCGAGCCAUUCCUCCACUGGCUGAGGCUUCUUUUCACUGGCGAUCAGCGCCCUCGCGAUACCUGUUUCUCUGGCGGUCUCCGAUCAGCUUCUUUCGCUCUCGGACCUCGCCUCUAUAUCCUCCAUAGGCACAUCGCCCCCGGCGGCCAUCUCUAACACCGUAUCCGAAACUCGCCACAAGGUUUCCUGCGCAGGCUCCGCGCCAGGGGGAGGUGUAGUGGUUACGUGGCACAUAGACCUCUUGUUUUUUAGGCUGUUUUUGUAACACUUCUUCGCCUCCUUUUGGUCAGAGCGAAGGGUGAUGAUCAAACCCUCCAUAGACGGUAGUUUGACCUUCAUGUGCCUUGUCGAAGGCACAACCCCUGUUCUGUUGAGCGUUGGCCUUCCCAACAGUAUGUUGUACGCCGACGGAGCGUUUACAACAAGAUACCUGAUCUUCUCUGUUCGUGAGGCCAAACCAUCUGUGAAGGUCGUCCUCAACUCAAUAUACCCCCUUACCUCCACUUGAUCGCCGACGAAACCGUACAGGCAGCCCCCAUAUGUCCUCCGCUGAUCGGGGGACAGUUGUAAUUUUUCAAAAGUCGGCCAAAACAUUACAUCCUCCGAGCUCCCUUGGUCGACCAGCACCCGGUGGACUGUCCUUCCCGCCGUGACAAGUGAGAUCACAAUAGGGUCGUUGUCGUGAGGUACAACGUCCCUAAGGUCUCCUUUGGUGAACGUGAUGUCCACGUCGGGUGAGUGGUCCUCAAAGAUGAUUCACCCUUGAGAGCGUAUUUUUCAACAAAAGGCAUCCCACACAGGUUAGGAGGUAAGCCAAUACCGAAAGGUCAGCUGAGAGGUUAGACUAUGUUCAAAAGUUUUACAAAAUUUAUUUAACAAAUCAAAGGGUCAAAAUCUUUGAAUACAUCUAGAAGUUCUAUAUAUAGAUUAAGUUUUUCUUUUAAUCCUAAUUUGAAACUUAUUAUAUUUAUUCAAAGUAUAAAUUUGAAGCACUUAUUCAUUUUUGUUUCCUAAAGUUUUUGAUAUAACCGAAAGAUCAAACCUAGAAAUUAAAUGAUUAGAAAGGUAGUCGAAAGGUUGAUAAGAAGGCUACGAAGCAAAAAAAAAAUUAUAUGUUCAAGUUUCGUACAAUUAAAAAGGGCCAUUAAAGACCAAGAUGAAACAUGUCAAAACCUAAUAACUUAUAACCAGGAAUUAUUACAAAAAAUAGAAGUUAGCGCUAAUUCAUCCUUUGGCAUCAACAUGUUCAUCACCAUGCACAGUUCCUUCUUCUGGUGUUUCAUCAUAAGGAACUUUGUCAAACGGGAUAAGCUUACCAUUGUGAAAAUCUUGUCAACCUCAAAGUUUCCUUCAUCUAAUGGAAUCUUGUAAAAAUACUUGGCUUGCUGAAGAGCUUUGUCGAAACCCAGUUUAUGUUGCUCAAUAAUGUAGCCCUCAGCUUCUAACACAUUUAACUUCAGUUAACUUAUCUCAAGUUGCAAAUGAUGUAUAUUCUCAGCAUCAUCUUGUUUCACAGAAGACAAGUCACACAAGCCUUCUUUUAGUUGUUGAUUUUCAAAGUUUCAACCUUUCAGUAGUCAAAUUGGAAAUUUCAUCCUUUAGCGAUUCCUUUUCGGCCUCGUAUUGAGCAUUCACAUUUGGUAACUCUUUAACUUGAGUAGUUAAGGAUGAGUUGGCUUCAAGAGCUAAUUCAAGACUUUUACCUAACUCAGCCAACUCUCUUUUAACUUUUCAAACUCAGCAGAAGAAAUACCACUUAUACUUUCUUCUUUGAUAAUCUUGCCAAUUAACAAAGUGUGACUUGCAAGUUCAACCACUGAAUCUGCUAAAGAAGGAAUAUCAGACGUCUUAAGCAUGUGACGAGAAGGCUCAUCAAAAUUAGUUUGAACAAAUUAUGAAAAACGUGUAGAGGCAGCAAAAAUUGUCCGGAAGAACCCGAGAAGAAAUGUCGACAACAUGGCAAUGACGUCUAGAAGAAGAAUGUGAUCGUCUACUACUUUUGUCUCGCUUCUUGCUCUUUUUAGAAGGCCCAAUGUCAGCGUUCUUGGUGUUACCCAUUUCGAUGGCAGCUUCCACCCGAGAAAUAGGUUUAACAACUUUAACUUCUAUUUCAUGUUGAACUUCUCUCUCGGGUUGAGGAGUUGAAUCUACAGCCUUGCUAAAAAUCUUUGAAAAGUAAGCUUGUCUUUUCGGAUUGGUAGUGGCCAUUAAACCUGAAAACUAACAAAAGAUUUAGCAAAGUUAAAAUUCUCUUGUUGUAAAAAGAAAGAACUAAAAAAAAUCACAUACCAAUAAAAUCCUUUUGUGGCCUACGAGAGGUGUACAAUCGUAACAAAGCGCGGGUAGGAAUUUUUUGGGUUAAAUGACCAAGUAUCGAAAGAACAUGUUGGUCUUCUGCGUUCAUUGAAUGAUAUGAACAGAAGUACAAAGGAGAACGCGUCCAAUAUAGAGGAAAUUUCAGAACAUCACCAUCAUAGAAAUAAUUUUUCCAGCUUUCUCAAUAAGUAUUUUGAAGAAACCGCCUUUAAAGUUCUUAUAAGAAGAGGUAAACGGAGAAGGAAAACAAAAUUUUGACUUGCUAAUCAAAGAUUACCAACUAGGUCGCUUGUUAGGCCAAAACUAUAAUAGUAUAGGAAAUCUUUUGGACUAGGAGACAUAAAAGAAAUUUACAUAAAAUACUAAAAGUCUGCAUAGAAGCCCAACCAUUGGGGUGAAGUUGAGUAGGGACAACAUUGAGAAAACGAAGGACGCCCAUUUGAAAUUCAUCUAAAGGAAACCCAACAUGAAGGUCAGUGAAAAGACAUUCAUAAAAAUAAAAGAAUUCACAACUCUCGCCUUCACGACCAUGGCAAACAUUGUUAAUGGCUCAGGCGCGCCGAAAAGAAAUAAUUUCUUUUGUUGCAUCAGGAGAAUAAAUAGAAAUGUUGGAAAGAAAACUACAAAGGACUGAAGAAUAACGAUACCGAGAAAAGUAUUCCCGGAAUUUAGGGUUAACCCAAUCAUAGUCGAGACGAAGUGAUGGAGAUCAAGUUCAAGACCAAAUGGAGGCAAAUACUCAAGGACAAGAAGAGGAAGAGGCUCAAGUGCUAGACGCUCAAGGAGUUGGUAGCCCACCUCAAAGGCUUACAAGAAGUCAAUUCAAAGCAUUAGGAUAUAAUGGGAGGUUGUUCUCUCUUUUUGUAAUAUCUUUGUUUGAAGGUGCUUAGAGGGAAACAUAAGAAACCUCUUUUGUAAAAGCAUCUUUAGGUCUUUAGUUUAGGAAAAUAGUAGGAAGCUUGGGGGGUGUGAGCUUAGUAGAUAGGCGUAAUAGGGAGGUGCCAAACUAAGAGAGGAAGUCACACCUUCCUCAUGCUUUAGGAUUGGCGCCACUUUUAGUGGGGGAAUUUUGAAUUUAAUUAGCUCUUCAUUUCAGCACCUCUUAGGCUAUAAAUAAAGGUGCUUACCUUGUAAAAUUCAGAUUGGAAAUUAGUAAUAGAGAAACUCUACUCAAUUUGAGAGAGAAUUUGUGAGAAUUUGAUUUCUCCUUCACCUUGUCUUAUCUUGAGUGCAUUUGGUUCUCUCAAGUGGCGGCACUAGCUCACUCAUCUUGGAGUCUUCAUCCUCUAAGUGGCGUGAUCAUCAAACCAAAGCAUCCAUCUCCAUAAGUUCUUCUUUCUUUCAUCUCUAUUAUCAUACAAAGCAUAAACAUGUCUUAGCUUCUUUGUUCGGUUCAUCUUCCUUUUCUUGCACUUAUGUUCAGCUGUUUGCAUUUGUUUCUGUUUUGAUUCAGUUCUGUAGCUCCAAUUCACAUUCUGUUCGGUUCUUAUGCUUUCUUAAGAGUUUUAAUCAGUGCAAUUGUAUUUUUUACACAAUUUGUUCGGUUCAAUUGACAAUAGAUGGCUCCUCCAUAUGAGUUUGGUGUUUGGUGCAAGUCUUGGUGAGUUCUUGAAACAUAGAACCUUGAUCCAAUUCUAUUAUAAGUGCCUAAGCUAUCUCCAACUCAAAUUGAGUCCAUAGAAUGUCAAAGAAUCAUCUCUUCUUUGCUAUUGGAUUCAUAUCAUGUGGUAUCUAGAGUUUAGGUGUGUUCUUGUUUAAUUUUGAGUUGUGUUGCACUUUAAUUCAAGAGUUCUAUAAUUCUUGUUGUUUACAUUUCUGUUUUUAGGCUUAUUUUGAGUUUUAUUGUUGUUUUCUUAUUUGUGCCUAUCAUAUCAUGAUGACCUUGAUUUUUCUCCUAUCUAUCAAGAAUGUCUUUUAGGAGGACACAAAGACUUUUUUAUACAAGAUGGCUUUCUUUUUAAAGGAAAACGUCUUUGUGUUCCCCAAUGCUCAAUUAGAUUAUCUCUUGUUAGAGAAGCACAUGAGGGAGGAUUAAUGGGUCACUUUGGGGUUGCUAAAACUUUGGAUGUGUUGCAUGAACAUUUUUAUUGGCCUCAUAUGCAUAAACAUGUUCAUAGUUUGUGUGAUAAAUGCAUAGCUUGCCGCAAGGCUAAAUCUAGGAUGCAUCCCCAUGGUCUAUAUACUCCUCUCCCUAUCCCUUCAAUGCCUUGGGUUGAUAUAUCUAUGGAUUUCAUCUUAGGAUUACCCAAGACAUCAAAGGGAAAGAAUUCCAUUUUUGUGGUAGUGGAUCGUUUUUCAAAGAUGGCUCACUUUAUUCCUUGCCACAAAGUGGAUGAUGCAUGUCAUAUUGCAAACCUCUUCUUUCAAGAAGUCAUUCGUUUGCAUGGGAUUCCUAGAACUAUUGUGUCCGAUAGAGAUCCAAAGUUCUUGAGUCACUUUUGGAAGACCUUGUGGGGUAAGCUUGGUACUAAGCUUUUAUUUUCUACCACCUGUCACCCACAAACCGAUGGUCAAACCGAAGUGGUCAAUCGAACUUUAGGACAACUAUUGAGAUGCUUCAUUUCCGGGAAUCCUAGAGUGUGGGAGAAUUUACUACCUCAUGUUGAGUUUGCAUAUAACCGUGUAGUAAAUUCUACCACCUCACAUUCUCAUUUUGAGGUUGUCUAUGGGUUUAACCCAUUUAACACCUCUUGAUCUUCUUCCUAUUCCCAUUCUUGGAGAUGUCUUGUGCAAAGAUGGGGAUGAAAAGGCUUCUUUUGUGAAAACUUUGCAUAAAGACAUCAAGAUGAGAAUUGAGAAGAAGGUUGGCAAGUAUGCUGAACUUGCCAAUAAAAGGAGAAAAGCAUUGUUGUUUGAGGAAGGUGAUUGGGUUUGGCUUCAUUUGAGGAAGGAUCGCUUUCCUACUCAAAGAAAGUCCAAACUAAUGCCUCGUGGUGAUGGACCUUUUCAAGUCCUCAAGAGGAUUAAUGACAAUGUUUAUGAGUUAGAUAUGGCUGAUACACCUUGGUAGUCAUACAUUUAAUACCAGUGAUCUAACUCCUUUUUCUGUAGGUCUCCAGAAUUCGUGGUCAAAUUCUCUCCAACUCGGGGAGUAAGAUGGAGAUCAAGUUCAAGACCAAAUGGAGGCCAAUACUCAAGGACAAGAAGAGGAAUAGGCUCAAGUGCUAGACGCUCAAGGAGUUGGUAGCCCACCUCAAAGGCUUACAAGAAGUCAAUUCAAAGCAUUAGGAAAUAAUGGGAGGUUGUUCUCUCUUUUUGUAAUAUCUUUGUUUGAAGGUGCUUAGAGGGAAACAUAAGAAACCUCUUUUGUAAAAGCAUCUUAGGUCUUUAGUUUAGGAAAAUAGUAGGAAGCUUGGGGGGUGUGAGCUUAGUAGAGGGGUGUAGGCGUAAUAGGGAGGUGCCAAACUAAGAGAGGAAGUCACACCUUCCUCAUGCUCUAGGAUUGGCGCCACUUUUAGGGGGGAAAUUUGAAUUUAAUUAGCUCUUCAUUUCAGCACCUCUUAGGUUAUAAAUAAAGGUGCUUACCUUGUAAAAUUCAAAUUGGAAAUUAGUAAUAGAGAAACUCUACUCAAUUUGUGAGAAUUUGAUUUCUCCUUCACCUUGUCUUAUCUUGAGUGCAUUUGGUUCUCUCAAGUGGCGGCACUAGCUCACUCAUCUUGGAGUCUUCAUCCUCUAAGUGGCGUGAUCAUCAAACCAAAGCAUCCAUCUCCAUAAGUUCUUCUUUCUUUCAUCUCUAUUAUCAUACAAAGCAUAAACAUGUCUUAGCUUCUUUGUUCGGUUCAUCUUCCUUUUCUUGCACUUAUGUUCGGCUGUUUGCAUUUGUUUCUGUUUUGAUUCAGUUCUGUAGCUCCAAUUCACAUUCUGUUCGGUUCUUAUGCUUUCUUAAGAGUUUUAAUCGGUUCAAUUGCAUUUUUUACACAAUUUGUUCGGUUCAAUUGACAAUAGAUGGCUCCUCCAUAUGAGUUUGGUGUUUGGUGCAAAUCUUGGUGAGUUCUUGAAAUAUAGAACCUUGAUCCAAUUCUAUUAUAAGUGCCUAAGCUAUCUCCAACUCAAGUUGAGUCCAUAGAAUGUCAAAGAAUCAUCUCUUCUUUGCUAUUGGAUUAAUAUCACGAAGACUUAGUUUCUCUUCUACUCUCUCGGCCCUUUCUUCAGCCUUAGCAUCUAUAGCUUCUUCACUCCAAUCUUUCAUACAAGAAGUUGUAGCAAAUGAAGCAGCCGAAUCAAUAUCUUUAUUAGUCUCUAUCACUCUCCCAGUAGACCCAUUACUCGUGCUCGAAAACCCCGUAAAUUCAUCAGAAACGGAAACAGAGCUUGAAGAAGACAUCGUACCUUCUGAGAAUAUUUGGCUAAACCUUUCGGAAGCAAGAAUGCAAAGAGUAGUAUAGUAAAUCAUAUGAAACCAAAUAUUUAUAGUGUUCACAAAGUCCUUGCGUGCGAAACAUCGUAACAUCACGAUCGUUGAAUUGGACUACAUCCAACGAUCAGGGGUUCAUCACUUGUCACACCAAUCGACACAAUCAAGAGAGGCACAUGAAACGAUGCAAUCUCUUUGUACGAAAACGCAUUUAAUACAAAAUCAAAGCCAUUUUCAAAAAAUAUUUCUUAUGAUAGGCAUUAAAUGCAACUUUUCACUUUUUAAUAGGCAUUGCGUCUUUUCAAAUUCCUCAUGCCUAGGGGCUAGUGUACUGUCUAGGCCGAAAGGUUGAGUGAAAGGUAAAAAAAAAAUAUUAAAUUAAUUAAUUACUGUAGCAAAGCCCAAAAAAUAGGCCCAAAUGUGCAGGUGUGUGUUUAAUAAAUAUUAGGUACAAAAAGGAAAAGCCCAAACAGGUUCUGAGCCCAGUAAAAGAGCAUAAUAAAUAGAUGACCAACCCAAGAGGUAAGUAGAGUGAAUUUAUCUGAUGUUGAACUAAUACCAAUCUGACUUUAGCAUCGGAGCACCUUAUAGGUACACACACUCGUCCGUGAGAGGAGACCGAGACCGAGAACCGAGAGAUCCCGUUGACGUAGCCCAGAGAAGCAAGAGUCCUCAAGUCAUAUCCAAUCCUAAACUAAAAAUAGAAAAGUAGCAAACCUAAAGUCGAAAGCCCAAACCGAGACCUUGCACCUGAACACCGAAAAGUCAAUCAAUCAUGGAAGAAGAAGUUUGCUUCUAGACCUUACAAGAACAUAUAAUAAAAUAUAAUCAUUACAAAAUCUUAAUCAUAAUUAUGUAUGAAUUUUGGGAUAAUUUCUUUUUCCUUUGAUCAAAAUAUAUCAUGAGACCAGUUUGAUAUGAAUCAAACCAACUUUUUGUAGUAAAUGAGGCUUUAAACACGAACAAAAUUGAUUUCCCGAUGCGUGAGUAAUCACUAUCCGUAAGGACUUAUCCGUGGUGUACUGCGCAAGUCCCCCAGGAUACAAUAGAAACUUCUCGGUAAUUUCUGAGGAUCAGAACUAGCAAGUUACUCUUAGAAGAGUAAGAACCCAAUAUAAUAGUAAAAUAAAAUAAAGUAAAUGAGGAGAGAGAAAGUGGAAAAAGGUGAGAGGAAGAAGAUGGUUAACGAAGUGGGUUUGAAGAAGAUGAAGAGGUGAGUGUGUGAGAUGUGAUUUUUGAAGCAAAGGAGCUCUCUUUAUAUAGGCAGAGGAAUCAACAACUUGUUGCAAUUUCCACACUCACGUGCUCCGUGCUUCCGUUUCAGCAUCUCAACCCUAGAGAAUAUCGGAGGAGAUUGUGCGAGAAUUGUGGAAGAAAGAGGAAUGUCUGUGUGCGAUCGUGGAAGAUCCAGUCUUGAGGAGAAGAGUUAAGGAGAAACCCUAACUGCAACAGUGAACGGUUCAUCUGAUUUUUCUGAAAAACUAUUGCAUUUUCACAACCUCUCUUCCACCACCUCCGAAAUUUAUGCAACUUCAACGUCUUAGGUUUGUUUUAUAUUUUUAAAUAUAGGUUUAUGCGCUUGAUUUACAACAAUCCCCCACAUAUUGCAAAACAUCAAACAUAAAGAUAAAGAAAGAAAAAGAAAAUUUUGGGUUCAUCUAAGAUGUAAUGAAUCAGAGCUGGUAUAGCAAGCUAUAUGAACCAGUCUUAGAUUGAUGAACUUAACACAUAGUGUAGUUUGUAUAGCAAGCUAUAUGAACCAAGACCUUAGUUUGUGUUAGAGGUUUAUCAAUCACAAUACACCCCCACAUUACUUGUUAUGGUUGUGUUGCGCUACUAGGUCAUGUGUGUGCGCGGUAUUCAUGACUGCUAUAGAGAUCUUGCCAAGAUCUCAUGCAAGCGGCUCCACUUGACACUCAUAUAGGUGAUUUCAUCAAGCGAAAGCUGCAAAUCAUACACCACCCAUAAGGGAUCUGAAAAUCAUUAAAAAACUUUGUAAUUUGUUAAAAAUAUUUUACCUCAGAAUUUUAACCACAAAGUUUAUCCUCUCGAUAAUGCAGUAUCUAGCACUUUCACACACACCAUAGGAAUGGACAAAAUUGUUUUUAAUCAAUAUUAGUGCUAGCAUAACUAACAAGUGACUUGUUUUUACCUAUAUGAACCUUAUUCAUGGGAUCUCCAAUCACAAAGGUUGGGUUUCCAUCACUUGUUUGUUUGCAAGUGGCUUAAGUCCCAUUCCCCUCGAUGUUUCUAAAAUCAAUUUUCUUCCCAGGGGUUUUGUUAGAGGAUCUGUCAGAUUCCAUUUUGACUUAAUGUAGUCAAUAGAAAUCGUUCCACUAUUUCACAGUUGUUUCACCAAAUUAUGUCUCAAUUGUAUAUAUCUAUUCUUUCCAUUGUAGCUUUUAUUUUUAGCUAUAGCUAUUGCCGAUUGGCAAUCACAAUGCAUUGAUACAAAUGGGGUUGCUUUCAUUCCUAACGGAAUAUUUGCUAAGAAUUUUUUCAACCACUCAGCUUCACUACCAGCCAUUUCUAGAGCAACAAACUCAUAUUCCAUUGUUGAUCUUGCAAUAAUAGUUUGCCUGGUUGACCUCCAUGUAACUGCACCACCCCCAAGUGUAAAUACAUAACCACUAGUGGAUUUUGUCUCAUCUAAAUCAGAGAUCUAUUUAGCAUCAUUGUACCCUUCUAGCACAACGGGAAAUCCACUAUAUUCAAUGGCAUAAUCCAUUGUACCUCUCAAGUAUUUCAUGAGUCUCGCAAGUGUAUCCCAAUGAUCUAGAUUAGGACAUUGAGUGUAUCCACUCAGUCUACCUACUGCAUAAGCAAUAUCUGGUCUAGAAAAGCUCAUUAAAUGCAAUAAGCUCCCAAUUAUCUGGGCAUACUGAGUUUGAGAAAUAGAUUAUCCUCUAUUCUUCUUUAAUUUAGAGUUAGCAUCAUAAAGGAUACUCACUGACUUAAAGUCAUAGUAACCAAACUUCUUAAGAAGUUUCUCAGUGUAUUUUUCUUGGGAUAGUAAUAUACUAUCUCCCUUCCUUAUGAUUUUAACUCCUAUAAUCACACUUGUUUCCCUCAUGUCUUUCAUCUCAAACUUAGAUCCAAGAAACAAUUUUGUUUUAAAAGCUACAUCAUUGCAUGUACCAAAAAUUAGCAUGUCAUCCACAUACAAACAUAUAAUGACAUAUUCACCAUUUUCAGAUCUAGAAUACACACAUUUAUCAGCAUCAUUGGUAGAAAAACCUUCACAAAGUAAAGCAUUAUCAAGUUUUCCAUGCCAUUGUUUUGGUGCUUGUUUCAAACCAUACAAAGGUUUUAAAAGUUUGCAUACUUUUUCCUUUUGACUUGGAACUACAUAUCCUUCAGGUUGAGUCAUAUAAAUUUCCUCUUCUAAUUCACCAUUCAGAAAAGCUAUUUUAACAUCCAUUUGGUGAAUUACUAACUUAUGGAUAGAUGUUAAGGCUAGCAACACACGGAUAGAGGAAAUCCUAGUAACAGGUGCAAAAGUAUUAAAGUAAUAUAUGUUAUGUUUUUUAGUAAAACCUUUAGGUACUAAUCUUGCCUUAUAUUUCUCUAUGGAUCCAUUAGGAUGGUACUUCUUCUUAAAGAUCCACUUGCAACCAAUGGGUUUUGCUCCUUUAGGCAAAUCUAGUAAGGUCCACGUAUUAUUUUUCUUAAUUGAAUCAAGCUCAGUUUUAAUGGCCUUAUCCCAAUGUUUAGCAUCAGGAGCACUAGUAGCUUCUAAAAAACUUAUUGGAUCAUUCUCAACUAGAUAAAUAUAAAAGUCAUCUCCAAAUGAUGUUUCCUUUAUCUGUCUUUUACUUCUCCUAACAUCCACACUCAAGGCAUUACUAGCACUAUCUAUAGGUUGUUCAGAUGUACCACUACUCUUUAGGGGAAAGAUUUGAUAAAAGAACUCAGUGUUUUUUUGUCUCUACUAUAGUGUUACGUUCAAUUAUAUCACUAUUAAGAACUAAAAACCUAUAGACAACACUAUGUUCCGCAUAUCCUAAGUGAUGGAGGAGGGCCCAAGCUCACCACACGAUGAAAGCCAAGCCUCCAAGACUAGACGGUCUAGACUAUGAUGAGGAGCGUCUAGACUCAAAAAGGAGCGUCUAGCCCAUGAAGAGGAGCGUCUAGGCCAUGAUGAGGAGCGGCUACAUAAGGAGCAUUUAGGCCAUGACAUACACAUGAGUCAAAGCUACGGUUUUGGGAAGAGAAGACCUUUGUAAUUGUUACAUAAAGGCCCAUUAGGGGUGCUUAGUAAUUAGAGUAGUGUAGAAAGCAUAUUUGUGUGAACAUUCUAGAAAGACCAUGGAGGGGGUGAGCAUAAAAACUAGACACACCCCUCCCUAUGUGCUCAUUUGUGCACCCAUGUGCCAUGUGCACCCAUGUGCUUCACAUUUACAUUUCAUUUGGCUAGCAUUAGGGUUGCAUUAUGGUCCUCCUUAGCCUAUAAAAGGAGGAGCCUACACCUUGUAUUUUCAAGUUUAUUGUGAGUAGAGUUAUGCUGCCAUUUUAUGCCAAACUUUGCUUCUCCCUAGAAUCCUAGGCUCUAAACUUCAAUUCCUUCAUCUUUUCCCUUGGGCUGGCCGAACCACCCAAUAACCACACAUAGCAUGCACCUACAAGAUCAACACCACUCCUAGGAGGAUCUUGCUCACCUUCAUUCAUUGCUUCCGCCCCAUUACUCUACAUUGAUUCAAGAAGAACUUCAUGAAAAUGCCAUCACUAAGAACAUGCAAUCAGAUUUUUUAGAUCCUAUUUUCCUUUUCUUAGAAUCAAGUAACAUCACUUUAGCUAAACACCCCCACACUCUUAGGUAUUUCAUAUUAGGUUGAUAACAUUUCCACAACUCAUAGGGUGUUUUACUAGUUUUCCUAUGUGGUAUCCUAUUUUGCAAAAAGCACGCAGUCAGCAGAGAUUCACCCCAUAAAUUAUCAAGAGCAUUAGAACUAAUAAGCAUGGCAUUCAUCAUUUCUUUAAGAGUCAUAUUUUUCCUUUCAGCUACUCCAUUAGACUCAGGUGAAUACGGUGGGGUUACUUCAUGAAUAAUACAUUCUUUUACACAAUAAUCAUUAAAUAAAAUAUAUUCACCACCUCUAUUUGAUCUAAUUCUUUUAAUUUUCUUAUUCAAUUAAUUUUCUACUUCCGCUUUAUAAGUUAAGAACAUGUCAAAAGCUUCAUCCUUAUGUUUAAUUAAAUACACUUUGGUGUAUCUAGAAAAAUCAUCUAUAAAAGUUACAAAAUAAUUUUUACCACCUCUAGACAUGGUUUGUUUUAAAUCAACAAGGUCGGUAUGAAUUAAACCAAGAAGUUUAGUUUGACGUUCUACAGAGUGACAUGUUUUCUUCGUUAUUUUAGAUUCUACGCAUAUAUCACAUUUACUAUUUUAUUUGUCAUGCAUAUUGAUUAAUCCUAGUUGUUGCAAUUUCAUAGCAUACGAAGAAUUCACAUGUCCUAAUCUAGCAUGCCAUAUAUCAUAUGAAUCAACAAUAUAAGCAGAAGAUUCAAAUUCAUUAAUAACUUCAAAAAUGUUCAAUACAAAAAGACCUUGAUCACAAUAUCCCUUCCUUACAAAAACAUGUUUUUUUUCAUAACAAUCUUGUUAGAUUCAAAUUACACUUUAACCUCAACUUUGCUUAGCAAUACCACGGAGAUCAAAUUAAAUCUAAUUGAUGGCACAUGUAGCACACCACUCAAAGCCAAAGUUUUACCAGAUGUGAGCUUCAGAAGAACUUUUCCUUUUCCUAGGACAGGAGUUGUUCUUGAGUCACCGAGAUAAACUUAUUCUUCUCCAUCCCCCACACUUGUGUAGGAGGUAAACACAUUUCUGUUUGCACAUAUGUGUUGAAGAUGGUUGCUGCCCCUUCAAGACAUGCGUUUGAUGAAGCCAUUUGUGUACAUUUCAUGUAUAUUUACAUUUGCUUUAAGAAUGUCUUAGGUAGAGUUUAAAGAAGUUGGCUUGUGGUAUCCACGUAACAUCUCAUUAAGUUUAACAGGAUAUUCUGAUUCAGACUUUGCAGGUUGCAAAAUUGAUAGGAAGAGCACCAGUGGAACCUGUCACUUGCUUGGAUGAAGCUUGAUCUCAUGGCAAUGCAAAAAACAGGCUUGUGUUGUUCUCUCCACUGCUGAAGCAGAGUACAUUGCAGCAGGGAGUUGCUGUGCUCAAACCAUAUGGCUAAGACAACAAUUGAAUGACUUUGGUAUCUUACUUAACCAUAUACCUCUGCUGUGUGAUAACACAAGUGCAAUCAACUUAACCAAAAAUCCUGUCAUGCAUUCAAGAACCAAACACAUUGAAAUUAGGCAUCAUUUCCUAAGAGAACACAUAUCAAAUGGAACAUGUGAGAUUAAGUUCAUAGGUACAGAUUUACAGUUUGCUUAUUUGUUCACAAAACCAUUGGCUAAAGAUAGGUUUAACUUUCUGCUAAAUGAAUUGGGAAUUAUAGAUGUCAAUUGUACCUCACAGUGAAAAAUUAAAUCUGUUUAUUUGCAAUUAAAUGUGUUUAUUUUUGGUACUGAUAUGCUUUGAUGACUAGGAAAGAGAGAUUUUGAUCUUUGACUGUUUGACUGACUUAGUGGGUAUUAACCACUGUACCUUUGACGGUUUUGGUCAUGGUUAUGUAACCGAUUUGAUGGUUUGGGUGCUCACUCAAGGUGUGGUAUGUGUGCUUCGUGACCCUAAAUAUUUGCUGCAUAUUUUCAAAGAUUCUCUGCACAAUUUCAGAGCAUAAAAUCUUCAUGUAUAUCCAUUCAUAACUGCUCCAUCAACUUAUUCAUUCUACAAUAUAAAUCUGUGUAAAAAUCUGCUACCCACAUUGGUUGUCCAUUUUCGGUUCUCACCAUUUGAAACUACAAGAAAAUUUUGGUUCAACCAUGGCUUCUUCUUCAAGACAGAAAAAGAAAAACCAGGACAGGCAAAACACAUUUCAAAGAGUGCUAGAAGGCUGGUUCGCUGGAGAUAAAGAGGGUAUCAAUGCCUACAUCCAUGAGAUGAGCAGAAAGCAGAUUAACAUACCUAAGGUGCUGGAUUUCAACUGGCUGAAAUAAAAAAAACUGGCAGAAACAAGGUCUACACUGAAGCACUAGAAACUGAAAAAGCUGCUGGAAUUAACGGGUAAUGUGUAUCCUGAUUUAGUUAAGGUGUUUUACACUAAUCUAACCUUGGAUGGAAAGAACAUUGUCUUCUAUGUGAAAUGGAUCAAAAUGAAGGUCACAAGUGAUGUCUGGAAUUCAGUGGCAGGAAUCAAAUAUUCUGGACUAAAGGUUGGAAAAGAAAACACAAGUGGGAUUCAGGAAUUCAACAAACUUCAAUAUUACAAGAGCUGUAUGAGGUCCCCUACCCAGAGCAUAAGCAGAUUCCAUGCAGGUCAUUUGAACCUAACACCAUGUCUUGUUGCCUACAUUAUAGCAUGGCAGCUCAUCCCAAGACGUACAAAUCAUGUUGUGUUACAUGAAGAGGAUUUAAUCCUUUUAUACUGCAUCAUGAAUCUGAUCAAGGUUAAUUGGGUAUAUAUCAUCAAUGAGCAUAUGCUGAAAUCCAAAAGAUUAACUCAUUAUCGCUUUCCUUAUGCUAUACUUGUUUCGAAAUUGAUUGACCACUUUGGCAUUGGAACUUCCAAUGAGCGAAAUGAUACCAUCAAAGCUGUGAGUGAGAUUGACAACUCAACUCUCACAAAAAUGGGAUUUCAUAAAGUGGAAGACAACUGGGUGAUUCUCAAAGGUAAGGAUCCUCAAGAAGAACGUGGAGCCUCAAACCUCAACAAUGAAGAUGGAGAUGAGGUUGUUCCCAUGGAAGAUGACACGGUUCAAGCUACAGAACACUCAUGUUAUGUUAUCCAUCACUCCUACGGGCAAGAACCAUCUGCUGAUCAUGCUGGAAGUCAUAGGACAAGCUUUCCAUCUGUAGAAAUCAGAGGAGACUCACCUGCUCCCCAAUCAGUGCAUGAAGAGGCUGCUGCAACUCAUCAGAAUGCUAUUGUUGCCUAUCAAACUCCAGAAUACCGAGGUGAACCAUUAUCCAUGUUUGAAAGGCAAGUUCUGUAUCGCCUUGAUGUCAUGACAGCAGAACAGAGGGCAUAUUUUGAGACCACUCAAGCAAGGUUUCAACACCUUGAUGAUCAAAUUGAAGGAGUUCAGGUGCAGCUUGCAGAGUUAUACUACAAAGAUUAGAAGUAUCUUGUUUUCCAUGCUUUCUUUUAUCAGUUUUUAAUUUCUGUAAUGUUGAACAAUUUGUCUUUGGUUUCUGGACUUUUAUGGUUAUGUUUCUGUUUUAUCUUCCCUUAUGCCUAAAUGUUGUUUGAUGAAUCCAAAGGGGGAGAAAAAUAGCUCACCAUGCUAGGUGAAGCUAGCUGAAAUAGGAAGUUACAUUCUGCACCUUAAAACAGAUUCACAUGUUAUGCAAUGUUUCAAUUUUCUGGUUUAGUAUUUGGUGCAGUACAGGUUCUUAAAGCAACAGAGCUAUGGCGAUUUGUCUCCAUCAAACAAGGGGAGAUUGUUGAAGAUGGUUGUUGCCCCUUCAAUACAUGUGUUUGAUGAAGCCAUUUGUGUACAUUUCAUGUAUAUUUACAUUUGCUUUAAGAAUGUCUUAAGUAGAGUUUAGAGGUUGUUUAAGAGUAGGCUUUUUGCUGAGUAACUCACCUUUUAACCCCUGACCAUGUGAUAAGAGCAAGCACAAAAUUUCUUAAACUGUUUUUCACAUGUUUUGCAAAAAACACAUUUACUGCAUAAAAAAAAAUAUGUUCUUUUCCAAAUAAACAAAUUCUUUUUUAAACUGAUGCUUUGACUAAGUCUUGUGAAAAUAAGAUUUUGUGCAAUCAAGUAUUUUGACUAAGUCUUCACUCUUUCAAAACGAUUGCGUUUCAAUAGUUAAGUCUUUUCUGUUAUCAUUUUGAAAAAUAAAUCUGUUCAUCUGUAAAUGAAUAGAUUCUUUUUAGUCUGGUGCCAUGUUUAUCUUAAACGGGUUUUUCGUUUUGUUUCUGCACCAGAAUGGUUGACUGAGUCUCCUUCACAUAACAGAUUCUCUAACUGUUUUUGAAAAUAAAUCUGUUCAUUUUAUUUUCAAUCUGUUCUUUUUAUAACAGCUUUAACUGUUUUUUGAAAAUCUGUUAUAAGUUGUUUUUCUAUAAAAAGAAAACUUGUUCCUGCGUUUGAAUAUAGAUCAUACAUUUGAGAAAACAAGUUUUACAUCAUAGAAUUAAGGAUUUACAGAGAAUUAAGGAUUUACAGAGAAUUAACAUGUGUUCUUGAAAGAUUUCAAAAAUCAAAGGUGUGCUUGUUCUUGUUUGGUUCCAAAUCUUGGUGAGAGGUGUUGCUACUGUUUAAGCGAUCUGUUCUACUGGUUUAAGGCAGAUUUCUGCAUCCUCUAUCAGGUGUAUUCGUUUCACAUUUCAUUUCUUGUAAAAGUGUGGUUGUAAACUCUUCUUGAUAGGGUUUCUUGAAGAGUGUGUAUGCUGAAAUAGUGUUUUUCAGCAAGUGUACCAAAGUUCUUGUAGGGUUCAAGAACAAUGGUGUUUGUGGUUGUUUGAAUUGUGAUUUACUGAAUUUCACCUUGGUUUAGGUGAAGACUGAAUGUAGCUCAUUGGAGUGAACCAGUAUAAUUGCUUUGUCUUCAUUCUCCCUUAAUCUCUGCACUCUAAUUCACGCUUAUCUAUUAAUCUGCCAGAAAUUGAAUCUGUUCAAUUAAAAAUAAAUUUGUUCUUUCUGGGCUUGUUCAUACAGUUCUUAUUUUCUAGAAAAUCAGCUUGGUUCUGUGAAGAAGAUAUAUGAUCUGUUAAAUACAACUGAAACAGGUUGAUUGUGAUAGGUUACCCAAUUGAUUGUCAAGCUAAUAAUUGAACCUUUAUCACUUGCCUAUAAAAUUGAAGGUCACUGAUUUGUGUGUUUCACAAUAUACUCCUAAAAUCAGUGUGUGUAUCUGGAAAAUCAAUCUGCAUAAUCUCGUGAUUAACUUGGUUGAUAUAAACGUUUUCAAACAUAAACAGUGCCAAAAUAAAUCUGUUCAUUUCCAAAUAAAUUGAUUUAUUUUCUGUGUACUGUGAUAAAUAUUGAUUCUGCGAGAAACUUUUAAAAGGUCAAUUCACCCCCUCUUGAACUUUGACAUUAUUAAACCCAACAAUAUGUGUCUGGUAGCCCCAGAGUUUACCACCCAUUUGCUCACAUUUGUCACAAGGUUUACUUGUGAAACGACUGCCACAAUAGUAUUUUACCCUUCGACUAGAUUUGCCUUAGGAGGAUAGUCGUUUUUGGCCCUAUGUUUGCACUAAGGUGCAUGAUGGCCUAGCUUUCCACAGACAAAGCAAUUACUUUUUUCUUGAAAGUGGGGUUAGUUCCAUUGGGACGAGAGAAUUUAUUAUAUUUCUUUUUAUAUCAAAUUUGUUCUCAUACCUUUUUGGAGCUAGUUUGUCUUCUACCAUGUUUGCUUUGGCAGACAAAGUUUUAGCCUUUGCAGCAGCACACUCCUUCCUGUUUGUGUCUUCAAUGAUGAUGUGGGUGAUCAGAUAUGAUAGUGACAUUUGUUUGUGUAUGUGCUUCAGUUGUUGUUUGUAAUCCGUCCAAGAUUGCGGAUGUUUUUUUAUCAAGAGUUCGAACACGAAUUCAUCCGGCAAGGUUAUGCUUUCAGUUUUGAUAUCUUCAAUCAGAUUGUGAUAUUCGUUUAUCUGAAUUUUGAUGUCUUUGCCUUCGAUCAUCUCCCAGCGGUAGUAGUUUGCAAUUACGAACCUUUGUCUGACGAUAUCUUCAGCAGUAUAUUUGAGGAUAAGAGAAUCCCAAAUAUCUUUUGCAUUCUUAUAAGAAGUAUAGACAUCGAACAGAUCGUUAGAUAACACACUGAGUAAGGUGUGACGACAUACCUUAUUUGCAUGGAUCCAAUCAUCAACUUGUUUCGCAGUCGUGCUUGAGUCAGGUUUAGAAGUUGUAAGUGCAAGAGCAACUCCGUACAUGUCCAAUAGGGUGGGCACGCGUUCUUGCCAACGUCAAAAAUUCUAACCGGUAAAGACUUCAAUUUUUUCGAGACAUCUGGAAAUGGUUUCGGAAAAAUGGUUUGCAUUGCGGAAAUGGUGUUUGACGUUUUCGGAGCAGCGUUGUUGGUUUCGUCUGUCUUGUCAGCCAUAAGUCCUUACGAUUGUAGUAAAUGAGGCUUUAAACGCAAACAAAAUUGAUUUCUCGAGGCGCGAGUAAGCAUUGUCUGUAAGGACUUAUCCGCGGUGUAUUGUGCAAGUCCCCCAAGAUACAACAGAAACUUCCCGGUAAUUUUCAAGGAUCAGAACUAGCAAGUUAUUCUUAAAAGUGUAAGAACCCAAUAGAACCCAAUAUAAUAGUAAAAUAAAAUAAAGUAAAUGAGGAGAGAGAAAGUGGGAAAAGGUGAGAGGAAGAAGAUGGUGAACGUAGUGGGUUUGAAGAAGAUGAAGAGGUGAGUGUGUGAGAUGUGAUUUCUGAAGCAAAGGAGCUCUCUUUAUAUAGGCAGAGGAAUCAACAAUUUGUUGCAACUUCCACACUCACGUGCUUCGUGCUUCCGUUUCAGCAUCUCAACCCUAGAGAAAAUUGAAGGAGAUCGUGCGAGAAUCGUGGUAGAAAGAAGAGAAGGGUUAAGGAGAAACCCUAACUGCAACAAUGAAGGGUUCAUCUGAUUUUUCCAAAAAUACUAUUGCAUUUUCGCAACCUCUCUUCCACCACCUCCGAAAUUUCUGCAACGAUAACAUCUUCCACUACCUCCAAAAUUUAUACAACGACAACGUCUUAGGUUUGUUUUAUCUUUUGCAAUAUAGGUUUAUGUGUUUGAUUUACAACACUUUUUCUUUUUUUCUGUAAAAAAAAACAUUUUCAAACUUUUUUUUUUAAUAAAGACUUUCCUGUUGAAUAUUAUUAUACAAUUUAAAUUUCAAAUUAAUUAAAAUUAAAUAUUUUUUUAUUUUUUAUUUUCAUAAAUAUAAUAAUAAAUCAAUGAACACUCCUAAAAGUGUUUUUUCUAACACCCAAGAUUCGGUCGCUGUCGAAUGAAUGGAUUUUCUGUAAAGUAUUUUUAUAUUCCAAAAAACUCAUUAAAUAAUGAAUAUAACGACAAAUUUUUGUUGUUGAAUUCAUUCGUAAUUUUGUUGGGCCAGAGGAAUAUUGUAGUGUGUCCAAAUGAGGAGUUUUAUUUUAUUUAUUAGAGGUGGUGUUCCCUAAUCUAGUGGUCAGCACCACAGAAUUAGUUUCAUCCAUCAGAUCCACAAAUCAUGUUUUCAGUUGACACAUUUUAGAAUUAGAGUAGUGAGUGGCACAUCAAUAUCAACACGUUUUAGGGAUAGUGGGUUAGUCAUAACAAAUAUCAACACGUUCCAGUUGACACAUUUGGAAUUUUUCUUAUAUUGUCUUCUAGUACACAAGACACAUUAGUUGUUAGACAGGAGCAUGUUUUGAACACGUUUUAUUGUAGGCCUAUACACGUAACUACGAAGAUAAAUAGAAACUAAAACUGGAGUUUCAAUGUAGUAAGAUAUAAUAGGCUACUUAUACAUCAUAGAUUGUGACAUAUUAAUCAAAAUACAAAUAUAAUACUUCAAUGUGAUGUAUCUUAUCGAAUUUAUUCACAUGAAAUUUGUAUGGUAUACGGUCUACAACGUUAUGAAACUCUUCUAACCAAAAGAGAUGUAGUUGAGGCCGAUAAAACUUCGAGGAGAAUCCACCUGCAAAAGAUACUUUAAUACUCAAGUCACUAAGAGUAUAAAAUAUAAUGAGUAUAGUAUAAAAUAUGAGUUGAAAGUACUUCCUGUAUUGUGUAUUUGAUGAUCCUUUAUGUAGAGCGUAAUAUGAUAUAUAUAGACCGAGUUGUAACUUGUCCGCCUUUAGUCAUGAUUCUCUCUUAAUUGAGUGAUUAAGGUUAAUUGAUUGAGAUCCUCUGACUUAAAUGCUCUCUCAUAACGUUAGAUACACAGGUCAAAAAAUGACCCAUAAAUGACCAACCAUCGAGCCAGAUCCAUGACCUUACAUGCCAUCAGCCUCAGGCGUAGGCCAAUGAGACUAUGGUGAGUUGAAAUUUGAAAGAUGAGCCAUUUGUUAUAUUUCAUCGAGUCAAGCCCAUGACUUUAUAGGAGCAAUAUACUCAAUAAUAAUAUAUAUAAAUUUAGUAAUAUCUAGAUCUACAUAGUUGAAACUAUAUGAGAGAUCAUGUUGAAUAUAUAUCAGAAAUUUAAAGUGUUAUAUAAUUAAGAAUGAAACUAAUCUUCAAUCAAACAUGUUAAACCAUUUGUAUUAUUAGGCUAAUAUAAGGUUAAGUAUCCCGAUCAAGAUCCAUUUGUUUAACUCUAUAAAUAGUUGACAUGAGACCUAUAAAUGAUAUAUUCAAUAGCAUUCAUUACUCAUAAAUAUACUUAAACUAACUAACUAACUUGAGCGUAUCUACAAGUGAGGAUAAAUGUGGGCUAAAUUUUUUCAAUUAACAUAUGUUAUAAUUGUUUCUUUUGAGAAUGUUUUACAAUGAUUUUUUUUUAAAUGACACCAAUAUUAUUUUUUUGUUAAUAAUUUAAUCCAAAAAAAAAUCAACAAACAUUAGUUAUAUAUUUUUUACCAAUGUUAGAUUAGGAAAAUUUUCAAACAUUAAUAAAAAAAAGUCGCCAAAAAAACCUAAUUUAAAAUAAAACUUUAUCUGUGAUUAAUGGAUAUAACUUAAUAUCACAAAAUCGAUUACAUUACUUAUUACCUAAUUACUUAUUACCUAAUUAGUUGGAAUAAGUGAUUUAAAAUUUUAAGAUUUGAUUAUACAAAUGAUUUUGUUUCAAUCUUUUUAACUACAUAAUUAAAUAUUUUGUAUGAAAAAAAAUAAAAAACAUUACUUUGCUGAUAAAAAAAACAUUAUAAAAAAAAAGUUAAAAGCAUUAGAAUAGAAGGUGAACCAAAAAUGACCUGAUGUGACUAUUAAAAAGUAAGAAAUCAGGUGCACCACUGCUUUAAAAAGGAUUGCAUUGAUCUAUGUCUUUGAUUAAGGUGUGAAUGUAGGAAGAAACCAUUAACCAUGAUUACGACAUAAACACGCCGAUCCCUAUGCUUCCACACCUCUUCCUUUAUCCUCCUCCACUUCUUGCAUUCAGCUUGGGACACGAAGGCUUCUUAAAACUAGUUGUCAUAUGGAUAAUGAAAUUAUUUCUUCUCACAAAUGCUUUAUCAUAAAAACAAAAACUAACUAUUGAGUUUUGUUUUCUUCUGUCGGUCAAAUUAUACAUUAACUAACUAUAUCUUGAGAUCAAACUUAGUCGCCACUUGAAUCAACAUUGAAAUGCAUACCGAAUUUAAACAACAUUCUUGAGAAAGCUCACAACUUACACAAUAUACACUCAGGAAAACGUUGUUUGUGCAAAGCAAAUAAACUUAAGAAGUAAAUUUAGUUAAAUAACAAGAUUGGAGUUUCCAGCUCAUUUGACAUUAGAUAAAUAACACUAAAGCCCGAGGAAGAGGCAAGGAAAAUUACACUAAAGUCAUAGCAGACGUUUUUUUGGUUCUUUCAUUUGAGUAUUGGCAUAGCAUUUACAAACAUGCUUUGAGAUUAUGCAGUAUAUAGAACAGAGGUAAAUCUCAAUUCCUAAAGAGAAACUAAGGACAUAUGGUGAACAUGAACAUAUGGUGACUAUGGAUGUCAGACUUGUGAUCAUGUUUCAGUCAUUGGAGGCAGAGAUCAGUGACAUUGGGUGGACAUGAACAUCAUCUCUUCCUUACCCUUUGAUGAGAUAAAUGCAGGGAUCCCUUGUGGAGAUGAGGUGAUGGAUCAUGCAGCAAUGGAAAUUUUCAGGUUUCUGUGGAGUCUUCCUGGAACAACCUAAUAUACUCUGAGGCAGCUACGUUACUAGAAUGAUCAGGAGGAAAUGCAGAGACGGUGGAGAUGAGAAGUGGAACGUAUGAGGCGGUCUGCAGAAGUGACAAGUGGCAACUUCUAUGCCUCAUACAAAUCACCUUACACAACAAUCGUUGGUUGCUUGAUGGCUGAAAGGCUAAGCAGUGUUUUGUAGAACAUCAAAAACAUAAUAGAAACAGAAGAGGGAUGGUGUAGGAUGCUUCCUUAUGCAGUAGUUUUUUUCUUUUUAUGUCCUUCCUGGUUUGGGUUGUCUUGUAUCCCUUUUAAUUUAAUUUCAUUCUUUGCUUAUAAAAAAAAAAAAAAAGACAUAUGGUGAAUUAUACUCAAUUAAAGGUCAAAAAGGAGGCCAAAGCACUAAUGAGUCAGUUUCACCUCCAAGCAGAAGAAGUGGCCAUAUGUCUGUUCAUCCAACCAAGAUAAAGGGCAUCAUCUCUAUGUUCAAGCCUGUAAUUUU
rnacentral:lncRNA from 1 species